AGAGUUUGAUCAUGGCUCAGGACGAACGCUGGCGGCGUGCCUAAUACAUGCAAGUCGAGCGGACAGAUGGGAGCUUGCUCCCUGAUGUUAGCGGCGGACGGGUGAGUAACACGUGGGUAACCUGCCUGUAAGACUGGGAUAACUCCGGGAAACCGGGGCUAAUACCGGAUGGUUGUUUGAACCGCAUGGUUCAAACAUAAAAGGUGGCUUCGGCUACCACUUACAGAUGGACCCGCGGCGCAUUAGCUAGUUGGUGAGGUAACGGCUCACCAAGGCAACGAUGCGUAGCCGACCUGAGAGGGUGAUCGGCCACACUGGGACUGAGACACGGCCCAGACUCCUACGGGAGGCAGCAGUAGGGAAUCUUCCGCAAUGGACGAAAGUCUGACGGAGCAACGCCGCGUGAGUGAUGAAGGUUUUCGGAUCGUAAAGCUCUGUUGUUAGGGAAGAACAAGUACCGUUCGAAUAGGGCGGCACCUUGACGGUACCUAACCAGAAAGCCACGGCUAACUACGUGCCAGCAGCCGCGGUAAUACGUAGGUGGCAAGCGUUG
rnacentral:rRNA from 1 species